AGAUGCUGAGAACUUGAUAAUGUUGCUUCAAUUGGGGCCCUUUAAAGUCUUUUUUUUUCUUUCUCUUUUAGUUCUUUAUUUUCUUUUGUCUAUUCCCUUUCUUUCCACCUUCUUCCUUUAUCUAUAUAUGUGUAUAAUUUUUCUUCUUCUUUUUUCUAACUAUCUCCUCCCAGUGUCAGGAAUCAUUUUGUAAGCAUUUCCAGGAACUCAAUCUUCCUCUGCCAAAAUAAAAAAAAGAAAAAAAAAUUCAAUGUUGUGCUCUCUGAUUUUUUUUUUUUUGAGAAGUUGGCAGAACUCUUUAAGUUAUACUGUUUUGUUUUUUAAAAAAUUUUAGAAUUUUUUAAUUUCGUGGUAGUGGGCUCUCUAAAUUGUUGAUUUCAAAGUCAAAGUAAUGAUGACAAGGAUUGCAGAUGCCUUUUUGUCUAAGCUGAGCCUCUAUUUAUUAUCUAUCUAUCAUCUUUUUCCCAUUUAUGUCCCAGACAUGGGGAUCAUGGGGACCUCAGAAACUUGCUCACGUUUACUUGGGAUGUCAGUAGCUGGCCUAUGGCCAGAACCCA
rnacentral:lncRNA from 10 species